AUUUCCCCCUUUGCAAGAUAGUGUGAAAAGAAUUUAAUAAUGAGCAAAAAUAUACUCCCUUUUCCAUACACAGCACACAUAUACUCACUAUCGAUAAGUAAACAAAGCAGAAACUCUUCUCCCCACAAAACUGCCGGUGAGCCGGUCACCCCUUCUCCCUCUCUAUUGUAUCUCCUCAACACAGAACACACCCCAAACUCCAUCUCUCUCCAACGAAAUCGAAAACAGAUCCCCAAAAUAUUUCCGCUGCAGGGUCAAGGUUCGUCCGCUCCGUUUCCACUCCCGAAACAACCCCGAUUUACCCCGCAGAUAAGUUAUAACUUUCGAUUUUUAACAGAUUGUUCAUUUACUCGUUUUGCUUUGAUUUCCCGAUUAUUAGAUUGAAUUCAGAUUGUGGUAUAUGGUGGUGUAGCCUACAUGGAUGCUGACAAAAAAAAGAAUUGGAAUUUGGUGUAGUGUAUAAUACCUUAGCUGGUAGAACAAAAACUCCCUCUCUUAAGCUCUCGGUUUCUGACAGGUAAAAAAAAGAAUGGGAAAAAAAAACAGAUAGGAAAGGUGUAACCGCCAUGGGAGGUAUAUAAAUUGGGUGAUUUGAUUGCCAAUUUAAAAUGGGAUUAAUGCUGCCUUAACUGAUUUUCAAAUAGAGAAGAUUUGGAAGAAAACGCGGAAGUUUGGAGAGUAGUACAAGCUGCACUGAGAUCUUCUAUUUUCUUGGAAUAAUUUAGUGUAGGAUUUAAUUUAUUUGGGCUCAAGACCCUUAUGUAUUAUUUAAAUUGUGUAGCCCACAAUUUAUAUAUCACAAGAUUGGACUUAUAUUAUUUA